rnacentral:rRNA from 1 species
AUACGGAGGGGGCUAGCGUUGUUCGGAAUUACUGGGCGUAAAGCGCGCGUAGGCGGAUCGUUAAGUCAGGGGUGAAAGCCCGGAGCUCAACUCCGGAACUGCCCUUGAUACUGGCGAUCUCGAGUCCGGGAGAGGUGAGCGGAAUUCCUAGUGUAGAGGUGAAAUUCGUAGAUAUUAGGGGGAACACCAGUGGCGAAGGCGGCUCACUGGCCCGGUACUGACGCUGAGGUGCGAAAGCGUGGGGAGCAAACAGGAUUAGAAACCCUAGUAGUCC